GCUCUCAUCGUUCAAUGGAUAGGACAUAACCUUGCGGAGGUUAAGAUGUAGGUUCGAUUCCUACUGAGAGCA
rnacentral:tRNA from 1 species